CCUCAUCAGGACUUGAACCUUUACCUUCCAGCUUGUAGCAUAGUGCCUCAACCAACUACUGCUACCAAGCAGUGUGCAAAUUAAUUGAGACAAGGAUUUAUUGAAGUAAAAUUCAAGUUCUGUUGGUUGCAGAUAGUCAAAACUGGGUUGUUUACUUCAGGUUCCUGUGAAAGUGUGACCUUGACUAAUAGGAAUGGGUUCUCAUGGGAAAGGUUGCCACUUCAUCAGUUGACAGCUUGUGUCUUUCACAAGUGUGUUCUGAUUUUGAACCCUGGGAUAAUUUUGUUUUUGCGUGUGUGAAAAUGGACAUUACUCCAAAGAAAUGGGCAAAAAUUAUUUCUCUUAAUGAACACACGUCAAUGACUGUCAAGCAUUUCCUCUGUUGUUGGUGCGGGAAAAUGAGUGUGUCAAGAAAUUGUUGUGCAUACAAGCAUUCUGGAUCACUUUCUCCACACAGAAAAGGAAAAUGCGGAAGAAAACGAAAACCACUCCUCGUACUGAACAGCUUCUAUUGAAAAACAGUAGGUUACAUCCAACAAUGAAAAAUUAGGACCUUCAGAGAUUUAUUGCUUUCAGGGAUUGACACUGAUGCUUCAAGUGUAUGGUGUAGGCUUCUUGAAGUUGGGUGGAAGGCAAGAAAUCCAAUCAAAGCAAUUGUUUUGACACAUACUAUGAAGCAGAAACUGUUGGCAUGGGCAAAUAAGUAUAGAUUGUGAACAACUGAUGACUAGUAGAAGGUGGCUUUUGGUGAUGAAUCACAUUUUUUGUUUAAGGUUACAGAGCAAGUGUUGUCACACAAAGCAGUGAUGAACCAGUGAGAGCAGAGCAUCUUCAGCAGGCUGUAAACUGGUUGAGUAGUGUUGUGCCCCAGGUUAUUAACGGGAAGACUGACUUUGCUGGUUCUUUUUGUGGAAAGUAACUGGACUUCGGGUAAUGGCAGAAACCAUCUAGCAGUAGUGGUCAAGAAUUCACGUAAUGAGAAUAAUUGCUGGCUGUAUGAAGAUUCUGAAAUAGUAGAAGCAUGUCAUCCUUGCACCGAGUUUGAAAUUACAAGUAAGGUGUUGGUGUGUGUGUUCCUACACAUUUCAAAGAAACCUUAUCCUGCAAGUUGUCUGGGGAAGUUGUAAGUAGAAGAUGCGAUAAAGUGACAUGGUUGGAAGAACGCAAUUUCUGGCUGUUUGAAAGGUUACUGUUUAUAGUGGGUGUUACUUCAACAACUUUUGUGUUCACACGCCAGAGAAUUUUGGACCAUCAGAUGUUGAGAAUAAUUCAGGGACAGCCAGUGAUGUAUAAGCUAGUCCUUGGAAGUGGGUUAAAAAUCAUGCAGAUUUAAACUAGAGUUUUAAAAUUACAAAUCUGUGAGUAGUCACAAAAAAACUAGUACAAGUGAACUGUAGAGAGAAAUUAUUUGAAAUUAUAGGUUCUUAUGACAAAGACUUGUAUUAUCAGAACCAGUGGGAGGUUUCAUUGCAGUCCCAUUGGAGACAUUGAUUACAUUAUUUACUUUGAAAUAUUGUAGACAGAAAAUUAUUUGACAUUUGUUCUGAAGUCUGGCCAUAAGCCAUCAUUUAAUGUUAAGAUAUAAAUUUUGUUUUGAGAAAGAAAUACAAAGUGUUGGUUUGUGUCAUUUAGGUUUAGCAUAUUAUGGACAGUUAAAUUAUAGGAAGUGUAAAAUGGGUAUAGUCGAAGGUUGUGUAUGAGUUGAUAGGUUGUUUGAUGUACUAGUGGUUUGUUUUAUUAUAUAUUACUUUUGUUGUUGUUUUGAGAACUCGAGUUAUUUGUGGAUCCCCCUAGUGCAGCAUGUUUUUCGCCACACAGGUUAAGAAUUAUCUACGAACGUCUGAUAGGGUGCGAGUACAGUCACUGACCCCUAUCAGGGCACAACAGAUUGGUGGCUGCGGUAAGAUAGAAGAAGAAAUUUUAGUGGCACAACAGUAGAUGCCACAUGUCCAGGAAGUCAUUUUAGCAAAAGGGGGACUCAUUUCUUACCAAAAUUAUGUGAGAAUUGUAUCUGAAGGUUUAGAUUAAACAAAUGUCAAUGAACAGGAAUGGCCUCCACAUAUGGCAUGUGUGGGUUUAGUUUCUUUUUUGUGAGGAACAUGUGAAAACAGCCAGCAUACAGAUUAAUAAUAGCCUAUAAAAUCAGCUGAGCAAUGGAUUGAAAAUCUUCCAAAUUCUUCCACAAGAACUGGAUACUUUAAUUCAAGUCACGGGUUAUGUUGGUCUUCUUGCUUAUUCCUAGAUCUUCCUAUUUUCCUUUUCGUCUCAGGGCAUGCAUACAUUAUAAAGCCCCAGUCAUCUACCCCCCCCCCCUUGUUUUACUUCAUGAUGCAUUGAAUGCCUUAGACUAUGUAGUGUUGAAUGGUAGGAUGACUGGUCAAUGAGGAAAUGGCAAGAAUUUGCACAAAAGCAGCAGUGACCUAAGUGAGGACUACCCAAGCACAUGCUUCCGGGGACUGAGGAAAUCCAUGAAAAAGCUGUCAGGAUAGAUUUAAACAGAGCACCUCUUAGAUCAUUCUCUCAUAAAUCUCUUCCCAUUCAAAUUUUUAAGGAAUUAUGCUGGUUAGAAUAUACACAGUUUAACUUUUUUUUCCCCAUAACCCAUCCCCCCCCCAAAAAAAAUUAUGCAGCAAUGUGUGUAAUUUUCCUAAAAAUUUCUACAGAUUUCCCAGUCCCAUAUUACAAGCCUAAUGCUGGUUAAGCCAAUGCAAAGGCUGCCUUCUACACACUUUCACACAAGUCUCAAUUUGAGCAUUUUAUAGCUUUCUCUUCAUGUAGUGAAGAUUUUCCCAACCCCUUUUUACAUGUAGUUCUAGUUGUCCAUGCUAGAUUUCACAUUCAGUCAAAUGACUUGUGAUGCAAAGACAUAUAAAAGAAAAAGAUUUUGAAUCAUCCACCUCCUUUAUUGUUUUUUCACAAGUAUGGAAGUAAAUCCAUUUCAACAACAACAAAAUAAUUAUUUGCAAUUGUUUGUUUAGAAGCUCAGCCUAUGUUCUUUAUCUGUACUGCAUAUUACAGAGUAAGUUAAAAAAAAGUGUUUUUGUGUCAAGUCUGUCAAUAUUCAUUUUAGGAAAGGUUACAUAAAUUGUACCAUAUCAAAGUUUACCACACUUAAGCAGUGGAAGAUCUGUGUGGCUGACUUCAUAUUGACAAAUUAAUCUCACUGUACAUUAUGUGGGCAAUAAUCGAAAUUUGUUUAAGAACAGCUACAAAAUACAAACAUCACAAACUUCCCAUAUGAUGGGAAAUUCACCUAAA